ACCGUAUUCCAUCGGUCCUAAAAUUCUUAUCUUAGAUUUGUCCAAAUAUGAAUGUAUCAAGUCAUGUUUUAGUAUAAGGUACAUCCGUAUCUAGAAAAAUUUAAGACAAAAAUUUUGGGGCGGAGGGAGUACUAC
rfam:Triticum aestivum genome assembly, contig: Triticum_aestivum_CS42_TGACv1_scaffold_129629_2BL